CACAGUCUUCUCCUUUCACCUCUCCUUUACUAUUUUGUCCUUCAGUAAAAUUUUAUUUUUAGAAUUAUUGUUUUUUAAUUUUACUCAUUUAUAACAUAUUUCACUGAUAACCUACGUAGUUCCUUGUAUGAGUAAAAUAUUUUUCUGCAAAGCUCAGUGAUCGUGAAAAGAAUUAUCAAGCAAUCUUCCUCUUACUUUCGGUGCAGUGCGUUUGUGGUGUAGUGGGCUUGUCGUGGUUCCUCUCCAGGCUUUCACCUGAGUACAGUGA
rnacentral:sRNA from 1 species